rnacentral:lncRNA from 1 species
AUCAAUAGUUUAAGUAUAAAUAUAUGUCUUAAAAUUAUUACAAUGUGUCUAUCAUAUUGGCUUCUAGGGCAUACAUCUAACAAUCUCUCACUUGAUCUAAACUAAUUGACCACUAACCUAAGUCCCAUCUUCUCAAGGUGGACUUCAAUCUUCUGCUGGCUCAACUGCUUCAUCAAUGGUUCUACCACACUAUCAUUGGACUCUACUCUUCACACCUCAACGUAUUUUUUCUCGAGGUAGUCGUGUAUAAUAUAAAAUCACCACUCAAUGUGCUUGAACUUCUGAUG